rnacentral:tRNA from 1 species
GGGGGUUUAGCUCAGUGGUAGAGCACUUGCCUAGCAAGCACAAGGCCCUGGGUUCAGUCCCCAGCUCCUA